UACGUAGGGUGCAAGCGUUAAUCGGAAUUACUGGGCGUAAAGCGUGCGCAGGCGGUGAUGUAAGACCGAUGUGAAAUCCCCGGGCUUAACCUGGGAACUGCAUUGGUGACUGCAUUGCUAGAGUAUGGCAGAGGGGGGUGGAAUUCCACGUGUAGCAGUGAAAUGCGUAGAGAUGUGGAGGAACACCGAUGGCGAAGGCAGCACCCUGGGCCAAUACUGACGCUCAUGCACGAAAGCGUGGGGAGCAAACAGG
rnacentral:rRNA from 1 species